UUUUGGUUGUAAUGCCCCGUACCUUAAAAUUUUUACUAGUUAAAUUUUACCGUUAUUGACCGAAGAGUGACUUUUUCUUUAGUCCGGUAAAUUAGGAAAUUUCCUUGAGAAUGUCGUAGAAUAUGAAAAAUCGAGUUCGUGGACACGUAGUUUGUUUAAAUCGGAGUUUCUACGGAAAAGUUAUGACCAAAAAUGGAAAUUUACUAUUAUGGUUAUUAUUUCCCUAUUAUUUUAAAGGAAAGUGGGUAAAAAAGGAGAGAGAGAGAGAGUGAAAUCGGGAGAACCCGAUUCCAGCCCCCCCCCCCCCUCUUCUUUCUUGUUUUUUUUCUCUUCUUUCUUUCCUUUCCUUGCUGCGAAACCGGAACCCAUUUCCGGCGAAAUCACCGCCACCGUCCGCACCACCGGCCAUUAGAGGAUCCUCUCUUCCUCCUCUUGCAUCUAAGCUUGUUUUGAUCUAUGGAGGAAGAUUUGAAGGUGUUUGAGCGUGUGAACAGUAACGUGAACAGUAACUGUCGGGUUCUUGGUUUUUGUUUGAUUUCUCCGGCCUUUUCUGCUUGAUUUUGGUUGUUGUUGCAGGACGGAUUGAUCCCUUGAGCGAGGGGAUACGGGUAGGCAGCAGGAUUAGCUGCGAGACUCACCUUUUGCAGGCGAAUGAGUUGAGGUCGGGCGUACACGAAAUUGAGGCAUAGUCAGCAGCAUGGCUUCCGCAUCUGCCUUUGAAUUAGGUUUUCCUCAUAUACCUUUCUGUUAGAAUUGCUCUGAUUACCUAUGGGAUUUAUGUUAUUCAAGUUGAGAUAUGUGUUUUGUGAAUUGGAGAUUGAUGUUGAUUUGGGGAGCAGGGUGGCUCCAGGGGCAUAAGGAUGAUUCGAUUGAGAAGUGUAAAUGUUCCCUACAGGUUUGGGUUGUCCAUUUUAGGGGAAGUUCCGCCAAAUUUUUGGUAGAAUUUCUUCUAAGGUGGGCCCCGCAGGGUCACUUCGGAUUUCAGGGUGAAAUCCGGGGCGGGUCCUGUCAUUGGUGGAAAAGUUUUUCUUUGUUUCAAUGACUAGGCUCCUUGUGCCUUGGCCAUACUUUCUCCUUGGUGUCCCAAUUCUCAUAGAUCUGAUCUUCUUUGAUGCUUCUAGCUUCACUCUUCUUUGAGGACUUGCUUAUUGGGUUGGAAAUAGAAUUGGUGAUCAUGUUGGUUGAAUUUUUGGGGUGUUGAUGUUCCUUUGUUGUGGUGUUGUACGUAGACUAACAACAUCGACUUUCACAGGUGAUGGGGUCUAGACACACAUCUCUUCUAAUGAUUUUGGUUAAGGGUGGCAGUGCACGUUUUCUUUGGCAGUACUUCAAUAGUUCUAAGGUUGUUGAGGGCGCGCAGCUACAGUUUCUGGAUGGUAGUGGCGGUUUGGGCUCCUUUUUGGGUUCCAGCCAGAUUUGGGUUGUGGACUGGCUUUUGAGUUUUCAUGUUCGGAGUGCUCUUUUUUUUCUUUGAUCAAAAUACAAGAUGAUUUCUUCCUUGUAUCCUCCAUAAUUUUUUUGUGUUUAUCAGCGGCUAGGCCUAUAUAAGUAUAGUAUUAUGUAUGGCAAACUUAUUUUGAUGAGUCACUAUGUAACAGGUUUCUUUGUAACAUUACUACCAAGUUUAUUCAUCAUUUCUACUAAAUUUGC